rnacentral:rRNA from 1 species
GACGCUCCUGGGGGUCUAGGGUAGUAAAGCGGGGGAGGGCAGUUCGCCGCCGAGCGUGGCUUCGCGGACUGAACGGCACGGCAGGUUGGGUACCGUCGGCGGAGGCGGAGGCGGCCUUUGCGCCCGCUCGGCGCCGAGCAGCUGGCGACGUAGCUGCGUCGCCGCGCCACGGCUCGUAGGCACCUCCGGACCGCGGCGGUUGCGGCCAGGGAGCUCGCGGACGGGCCCGUCGACCGGCUGCGCGAGGAGUCGGCGGAGCGGCGAGCGGCGGAGGAAAGGGGGAGGGAGGAGCUCCAAAAGGUCGUGAGCCACGUCCUCUAGCUGAAGUCGCCGUUGUAGCGGCAUCUACGCCUCACCGACCGAAUGGAGCCGAGGAAGGCAAUGGACCCGUAGGAGUUCGACCGCCUGACGUUCUUCCAGCUGGUGAGGCGCUAGACCCGUGACAGGCCGUACUCAUACGAUUUUCUUAACCUGGACAGCUCUACGAGAUCCUAUUGACUACGGCCGUAGUUUGUAUAUCAGAGGUAACUAUCAGACCUCUUCGAUGUGAAUAGACUCUGACCUAACUGACUGUUACCUCACUACGAGUAAAGUCGUGAUUUUCCAAAUUUAAACGAUCUAAACCCUCCUUAAGUAUACUGGCUGUUUCGCAACGCCAGUAAUGUCCAUAACUGUGUUGAACUCGUGGAACUAUAUACCCCAUCACUUUAAUGACUACUCCCUCGAAGUUAGGAAUUCCGCAAAUGUUCUAACUCCAAGAAUUUACAAAGAACCUGUGUACACUGAGCAGAUGGUGGAGAAGGUUUGUACUUUAUAGAAUUAUACUCGUUGACAUGUUAAAUAAGGUAAGCACCGCCACUAAGACUUCAAGUAUAAGGAGACGUUUUCAAAUGCCGGAGACGUCGGAGUUAACAACUGCAACUACUUCACAAGAGAUCGUAGCAUCGUUCGAGUAAAAGUAAGAACCUAUACAGACCAACAAGAAAUUCGUUGAAUAUACCGGACGUUUUCUACUUUUCAGAUCUCGUAAACCUGGAAUCGAACUCGUCUCAUUGACUGCUACGUUAGCUCAUACAACGUUUAUAACCUUACUUCGACUCUAUAGAUUCGGAGUUCUUAUGACCUUAUUGGAGAGUCCGUGGUACAUAAAACCGUCCUUGUCAAGGUUUGGACCGAAGUGACAGAAAUCGAAUAUGUUUUCAACUACUAAGACGAGAUCAUAUAUAGUCGUACUACGGAAGUAACUCUCACUAUCUAGAUUCAGUAUGUUCAUAGUUUCCCAAGUGAACACAACUUCGUUUGAGUCUCUUUUAUGACAGAGACGGAGAUGAACUCGUAGAGUAUAUAGAACUUUCAGAUUUAGACCUCCUACGUGGUGACAGUCUACUUCAAUAUGGAGGGUACCGUAGGAAAUCUCGUGAUUUUAUAAACAUGGACUUUUCACUAAAGAACAGACUAGGGCGUAACGUACGGGACAGAAGACGGAGUUUAAACUAUGUAGAACCUAAAACACCCUCACAUAAUAGUUUGAGACCCGAAGACGUUAAACACGGGGGACGGGUUGAUGUACACAACCUAAAUUCACCGACGACCCAGAAUUGUCUCAUACGGUAGAGUAGUAAAGCAUCGGUAGUGGGCUACUAUCUCAACUCUGUACUUGAUUAAGUCCUUGAAGUUGGUUCGGUGUAGCCAUGAAGUGUUCAAGCGUUCAGAUCCGUAGAAGGUGCCCGUUUUUGUUUUCAAAAAUUAUCGAGCCGACUAAGAUCGUCCGUAAGACCAUAGAAGAAGUACCUAGUUUCCUAUUUUAUGUCGUCCCUCUUUUACGACCUCUAGGUUCUAGAAUGGGUUAGCUUAAGUCACAAUGUACUACACGUCGAAGGUGGUCUCGACGCUGCCUACCUUACUCUGUUCAAGACUACACUGGUACCCAAGUUUACCAACUACGAAGGACUACAUCCUACUAAAAACAGAAUUUCAUAAACGGUAAACUAGUACUAGUCAGAAUAAUGGGUACUCGUUAUGUACCAUUUGCUUCCUCUCAGGUACUCGAUGCCUGAAGGCCUUCAACGCUUUGUUCGACGACCACUUUAGCUUAACAAGUAUAUUGAUAUGUGUCGAUAUUGACAUGCUAUUUGAUUGACAUGUCUUUGUUAAGGGUAUUUUUUUGAUAUGUCUUUGUUAAUAUCUUUAAACGUUUGUGUGCCUCUAAGAAUUUCUAGGAACAACCAAAACAACCCACUACAUGACAUUAGUUUGGUUACGGUGUCGUUAGAAGAGCGACACGACUUCGUCUGUGAGGAACUC